rnacentral:rRNA from 1 species
AUGUCGUCGUCAGUUGGGAUGGAGAAGGCAACGAAUAAAUCAGCGAAGAAGGCAGCGAAGAAGGCAGACAAGACAGACAAGGCAAUUUGGGAUGCAUACCAUACUAGGGUAUUUUGCGAGUUGUGUGCGAGGGAAGUUGAAGCAGGCAAUAGGCCGGGGGCGUUCUUGAGUCCUAGAGGAUAUAAGAAUUUAGGGGAGAGUUGGUUGCAGAUAACUAAGAAAAGUUAUGUGAGGAUGCAAUUCAAGAAUAGAUGGGAAAAUCUCAAAACUAUGUAUUGUCAAUGGAAACAACUGCAAAUUGACGCAUCUGGACUUGGAUGGAAUGCUAAGCUAGGAACCAUUGAUGCUGAUACUGAUUGGUGGAACACUCACCUAAUACAUGCAAAGUAUAGGAAUGGAGGACCACCCAACUUGGCUGAAAUGGACCUCAUGUUUGAUGACCGUCAUGUCACCGGUGCCGAGUCAGCUAUCCCCGGUGAGAUACCAUUGGACAAGGAGGAUGUUAGUGAUGACACUGAUAGUGCAGAGGAUAAUGAUGAAGUCAUCAAAGCAAAACCAAAGAAGCAGCGAAAGACCAAGUCCUGUAAAGAUGAUUUUUCUGCUCAAGAUGAGAAGAACCCAUUUGUUCGGAUGUACAAGAAGGCUAGUGAUGCGAUAUGUGUAACGGCUGAAAGUAUAAAAGAAGCAUCUAGCUCCAGCAUGGCUCGUCCUCCCCCUCCUCUGGUUGCUCCCCCCCCUACUCCGGUUGGACCUAGUAUGAAUGAGGCAAUGAAGAUGGUUCGUGAAUGUGGAGUUGAGGAAGGAAAUCCUCUCUUUUUCUCUUCGAGCAUGCUAUUUAUGAAGGCUGAGUAUAGAGAAAUGUUUGCAUCGGUUCAGACCAAGGAAGGAAGGUUUGAUUGGCUCGAGAGAGCGCAUGAUUAUGCUAUGUAA